UGGAACCCAGCUCAUCCGGUUGGACCUGCACGGGCCUCAUUCCUGUCUGAAUGUGAGGCUUGUACGAACCAAGCCCCAAAACGCUAUAUAAAGAGCUCUUAACCCUGCAGUUAGUCAGUCUGGACUGGGAUGACACAAAGUAACACCACCGCGAGGAAAGAAGUAUCUCUAGUGAGAUCAACAGUUUAGAUGACGGACCUUGCUAUGAAGACGUGCGUAGUCUCUCUGAUUAAGUGGUUCUCAACAGUUCAACAGUUCUUUAACAAAAUUGUGAAAUGUUUAGGACCACUUGACCAGUACGACAAAUGCUCCCACCUUUGGAAAAGAAGCUGCACUGUUCUCGAGUGACUCUAUACCAGAAAGGCCUAACGUUUGACUUUUUUUUUUUUUUUUUUUUUUUUAAACAACAGAGUGAAUUGCUCUGCUUUUCUUCUUCCUUAAUGCAUGCCUUUGUCUCCUACUCUCAUUGUGCCCCCUUGUGUUGCAAUCACACCUGCAAUCCAGGAGCUGCGGGGAGCUGUAAAAAUCUUCAGGGUUCAGUAAUUUCAUUCUGCUGGCGCACAUACAAAUUUUUUAACAGCUCUGCUGCUCCUGCUGCUGUAACACCCGUCUUUUUCACUGCUUUACUGUUGCUGCUGUUCAGAAGUCAAUAAAGAACCAUUUGUCUCUGA